AUGAUGAGCAAACUGAGGCACAGCGAGGUUAAGAACCUGCUAUGAAAUGGCAGAGCUGGGAUUCAAGCUCAGGCAGUCAGACAUUGGCGCCCACCUCUUCAUCGUUACGCUCCAUGUGGCGGCAAGAUGGCAGCCAAGAAGCACAGACCCUAUUCUCCUUUGUUCCAGUCCAACAUUCAAAUGAAAGUCCUGAGCCUGACACUCAUUGGUCUGAAGAUGGUCAAAUGCACAUCCUUGAAUUCAUUACUUGGCCAGAGAAUGGGACAUGCUGAUUGGCUUAAGCCUGGGUUCUGGGCCACCCCUGGAACUAAGGAGGGGUCUACUCAACUCAAACAUAAAAUAGUAUGUCCACUACAGUAGCUUUUGUUUUCGUCUCUCCAUAAAGAGUUGGCAGAAACGUAGCUGGGCAAUUUCAGAAACAUGGCUUAUAACCAACCUGCUCCACUAUUUUGCUACAAAAAGUGAGCCUGUGCUAACUGUUCUGUAAUGAAGUACUUGGUCCACGCCCCGCUUCUCGCCCAGGUGGUGAUUUUCCCCAUCAACAACCCCAGAGCAGGUUAGAAUCAAAGUGACACAUGCAGGAGCCAGAUGUUUGGAGAGUAAGAAGGGGAGGUGGAAAUCGAAGGACUGACUUUUGGAAUGUUCUGGAAUGUAACUCAGAGCAAGCUGAGAGGACAUUUUUUAGUCUUGUUUUUAAGAAAACAGCUGAUCACUUUCGCUGGUGGAAGCCCACGGGCUCCAGUUCAUGCCCCUUCAUUUUGUCUCUGUCGUCUGUGGAGACUUUGAAGAUGUUUACACAGCACCUCAACUAUAGAGAGGACGAGAACGUCCUUCAUCUUGGGCAGCUCCUCCUUCCAAGUCUUUUCAAAAAGUCAAGGAAUCUGAGACCUAAGAGGUAUAAACUGACUGGAGUGAAAGGAGGGGGUAAGUCAGAGAAGACACACCUUCUUCCUUUAAAAAAGGCAGUCAGGGGCCCGCCCGGUGGUGCAGUAGUUAAGUGCGCACACUCCAUUUCGGCAGCCCGGGGUUUGCUGGUUCGGAUCCCAGGUGAGGACAUGGCACCAUUUGGCAUGCCGUGCUGUGGUAGCCAUCCCACAUAUAAAGUAGAGGAAGAUGGGCAUGGAUGUUAGCUCAGGCCAGUCUUCCUCAGCAAAAAGAGAAGGAUUGGCAGCAGAUGUUAGCUCAGGGCUAAUCUUCCUCAAAAAAAAAAAAAUGCAUUCGUUAGUACUUUGGAUAGUCAUAUGACCACACACACCAAUUUAGAAAGCUUUAAAGGAGUAUUCAUUGAAAAAUAAUUCUCUCUUGCACUCCUGCCCCCCAUCAGCCACCAAGUUCCCUUACCACAGGUAACCAGUAUUACCAUUUCUAGGUGUCCAGAGACAUCCUAUGUAGGUAUAAACAUUUAUAUGUGUCUGUUUCCUAAAUUCACAAAUGAUAAUGUACAAUACACAUUGUUGUACACUCAGCAUUUUUCACUUAACAAUACAUCAGACAGAGGUUGAUUUUUUUUUUUCUGCCCAAAAUGCUAUCAGAAGGGAGAAGUGAUUCUUCAGUUCAAUGAUCUGCGUCUGGUUCUGGCUUAUUGUACUGACAGCAAACAAGAUGUCGAGUUGAACUCUACCUCAGCCUCAGCAGGUGCAGCCCAGGGCCAGAGGCAUGGCAAGUGCAUAACAAAAAGACCCCCUUCCAUGGGACAGACACAGCUCUGCACAAAAGCAUGUGGCUUGGCACCUUGGAGAGCAAAAGGAGAGCCACCCCCUCAGCCAGCAGAUUGUGCAGUGUGGGACCUGCACGCCAUAUGCAGCACUCCUGAAAUGACACCACGAGGCCCCCCCAUAGCAAGGCAUGGGGAGCAACAGCUCAUCCGGAGGUCUUAGCUGCCAGGCUGUGCUCCCCAUGCUGUCAAGGUGGAGGCUCCUGAAGAAGGGCAGAAGCACUGAAGGCUGCUCCCUGAGUGAACUCUCCUUGGACACCGGCCAGAAUCAAAACUUGGCUUCCUCUCACCCUUUAAAAUAUGGUUGGGCUCAAUGAGGUCUUACAAGGUUGUCUGGGCUUCCAUGCUCAGGAAUGAGUCCUGCCAUUGGGCCACCCAGCCUCGUCCCUGGACCUUUCCAGAUCCAUUCAGAACCCAGCUGCCAGUGUGGAGACUCAGCAAUCUAUCUGGUGGCGGCAUGUUUAUUUCGAAAACAGUCAUGAGACUUGAUUUGAUGUAGUGAAAGAAAUGAGCGCUUGCUGAAUAUGGCCCAGUUGUGACUGCAUUAAUUCAUGGAGAUUAGCAGCUGACACUGGCUGGAAGGUAUGAUCAGGACAUUUCAGUAAGUUUGGCUGAAGAGAAUGGCCUUUCCACGGCUGCUGCACCUCCCUUCCCCCACACCAAAGCUCCCAGGAAGACUUCAUAUCUGGAAUGACUUUCUCAACAAGGGCCCACAGUGUUAUUUUAAUGCUCGCUGGAAAUGGACAAACGGAAGCAUGGUUGGGAAAUGCCCCCAAAGUCAGUCAUCAAACUGAUGCCCUUUGAGACCUGCUUUCUCCCAAGCCCACGUUCUAACCAUUGAAUGACUCUUCAAAGAUGGAAGAAAUUCUAACACGCUACCAGGGAAAUACAGCAAGACAUUUUCUUGUGGAUCAUCCAACUUGGUAAGUGAAUUGACACCUUGUGUAAGCAGUUAUGUAUGUUCUCAGCUGCAAGGAACAAUGGCUUAAACAAAUAAAGGAUGAUUUUCUCACAGUUAUGCGUUGAACUGUGUCCCCCGACCCCCAAAAUCUUAUGUUGAAGCCCUA
ensembl:lncRNA